rnacentral:pre_miRNA from 1 species
AAUUUCAUCUGAAAAAGUCAUCAAUAACAAAGUUGUAUAACUCAUCAAGAUCUAUAACUUCUACUUUGGUCAUUUCUUCAUCCGAUAAAAUGAUUUGUAAGAUUGUUCACAAAAUGUAUAUAUCUUAUAUAGUUUUUAAAAACUAUAUAAGAGAUGCACAAUAAAAACUAUAUAAGAGAUGUACAUUUUGUGAAUAAUUUUACAAAUCACUUUAUCGGAUAGAGAAAUGACCAAAAUAGAAGUUAUAGAUCUUGAUGAGUUAUACAACUUUGUUAUUGAUGACUUUUUCAGUUGAAAUC